rnacentral:rRNA from 1 species
UACGUAGGGUGCAAGCGUUAAUCGGAAUUACUGGGCGUAAAGCGUGCGCAGGCGGUUUUGUAAGUUUGUCGUGAAAUCCCCGGGCUCAACCUGGGAAUUGCGAUGGAGACUGCAAGGCUGAGAAUCUGGCAGAGGGGGGUAGAAUUCCACGUGUAGCAGUGAAAUGCGUAGAGAGUGUGGAGGAACACCGAUGGCGAAGGCAGCCCCCUGGGUCAAGAUUGACGC